CAGUAGCCACGGUAAUACGUAGGGUGCAAGCGUUAAUCGGAAUUACUGGGCGUAAAGCGUGCGCAGGCGGUGUUGUAAGACUGAUGUGAAAUCCCCGGGCUCAACCUGGGAACUGUAUUGGUGACUGCAACGCUGGAGUGCGGCAGAGGGGGAUGGAAUUCCGCGUGUAGCAGUGAAAUGCGUAGAUAUGCGGAGGAACACCGAUGGCGAAGGCAAUCCCCUGGGCCUGUACUGACGCUCAUGCACGAAAGCGUGGGGAGCAAACAGGAUUAGAUACCCCCGUAGUCCCUGUCUCUUAUAC
rnacentral:rRNA from 1 species